GAAUUCCAAGCUUCGCGGCCUAUCAGCUUGUUGGUGGGGUAAUGGCCUACCAAGGCUUCGACGGGUAGCCGGCCUGAGAGGGUGACCGGCCACACUGGGACUGAGACACGGCCCAGACUCCUACGGGAGGCAGCAGUGGGGAAUAUUGGACAAUGGGCGAAAGCCUGAUCCAGCAACGCCGCGUGAGGGAUGACGGCCUUCGGGUUGUAAACCUCUUUCAGUAGGGACGAAGUUCUGUCUUUUUGGGCGGAGUGACGGUACCUACAGAAGAAGCACCGGCCAACUACGUGCCAGCAGCCGCGGUAAUACGUAGGGUGCGAGCGUUGUCCGGAAUUAUUGGGCGUAAAGGGCUCGUAGGCGGUUUGUCGCGUCGGGAGUGAAAACCAUGGGCUUAACUCAUGGCUUGCUUCCGAUACGGGCAGACUAGAGGUAUGCAGGGGAGAACGGAAUUCCUGGUGUAGCGGUGAAAUGCGCAGAUAUCAGGAGGAACACCGGUGGCGAAGGCGGUUCUCUGGGCAUUACCUGACGCUGAGGAGCGAAAGUGUGGGGAGCGAACAGGAUUAGAUACCCUGGUAGUCCACACCGUAAACGUUGGGCGCUAGGUGUGGGGCCUAUUCCAUGGGUUCCGUGCCGCAGCUAACGCAUUAAGCGCCCCGCCUGG
rnacentral:rRNA from 1 species